CGCGUAGGAAUCUACCGAAUAGUGGGGGACAACCAGUGGAAACGCUGGCUAAUACCGCAUACGCCCUACGGGGAAAGCAGGGGAUCUUCGGACCUUGCGCUAUUUGAUGAGCCUGCGUGAGAUUAGCUUGUUGGUGAGGUAAUGGCUCACCAAGGCGACGAUCUCUAGCUGGUCUGAGAGGAUGAUCAGCCACACUGGGACUGAGACACGGCCCAGACUCCUACGGGAGGCAGCAGUGGGGAAUAUUGCACAAUGGGCGCAAGCCUGAUGCAGCCAUACCGCGUGUGUGAAGAAGGCCUU
rnacentral:rRNA from 1 species